rnacentral:antisense_RNA from 1 species
CUUGAUCGAGCCCAGCCACAGCGGACGCUCCGGGUCACGGUCCUUCCCGUAGGUGGCGAUGAGGGCCUGUGCCUC